rnacentral:rRNA from 1 species
GAUGAACGCUGGCGGCGUGCCUAAUACAUGCAAGUCGAGCGAACAGACGAGGAGCUUGCUCCUCUGACGUUAGCGGCGGACGGGUGAGUAACACGUCGAUAACCUACCUAUAAGACUGGGAUAACUUCGGGAAGCCGGAGCUAAUACCGGAUAAUAUAUUGAACCGCAUGGUUCAAUAGUGAAAGACGGUUUUGCUGUCACUUAUAGAUGGAUCCGCGCCGCAUUAGCUAGUUGGUAAGGUAACGGCUUACCAAGGCGACGAUGCGUAGCCGACCUGAGAGGGUGAUCGGCCACACUGGAGCUGAGACACGGUCCAGACUCCUACGGGAGGCAGCAGUAGGGAAUCUUCCGCAAUGGGCGAAAGCCUGACGGAGCAACGCCGCGUGAGUGAUGAAGGUCUUCGGAUCGUAAAACUCUGUUAUUAGGGAAGAACAAAUGUGUAAGUAACUAUGCACGUCUUGACGGUACCUAAUCAGAAAGCCACGGCUAACUACGUG